rnacentral:rRNA from 1 species
AUCUCUGUAGAGUCUGCAUAUCAAUAAGCGGAGGAAAAGAAACUAACUAAGGAUUCCCUCAGUAACGGCGAGUGAAGCGGGAAGAGCUCAAAUUUGAAAUCUUCAAGGUUUUACCUUGACGAAUUGUAGUUUAAAGAAGUGUUUUCUGUUGAAGUUUCGGUAAAAGUUCUUUGGAAUAGGACAUCAUAGAGGGUGAGAAUCCCGUAUUUGACCGUUACUUUUCCAGCUGUGUGAUACACUUUCAAAGAGUCGGAUUGUUUGGGAAUGCAGUCCAAAAUGGGUGGUAAAUUUCAUCUAAAGCUAAAUAUUGGCGAGAGACCGAUAGCGAACAAGUACCGUGAGGAAAGAUGAAAAGAACUUUGAAAAGAGAGUUAAACAGUACGUGAAAUUGUCAAAAGGGAAGCGUUUGACACCAGUGUUGUUUUCUCGAAAAUCAAUUAAAAAUGGCCUGGAUUUUGUGUUGUAUUGACUUUAUCAGCUUUCUGCACUCUUUUCUUGUCUUUUUUAAUGCACUUUUCGUUUAACAAGUCAACAUCAAUUUCUUUUGUUGUAAAAGAGGUCAUUGGAAGGUGGCUUUCACUUCGGUGAAAGUGUUUAUAGCCUUUGACUUCUGCAAUCGGAGAGAUUGAGGUCUGCAGCGUAGAUCCUUCGGGGUUAGAUACAUUUGUGCUAAGUUAUAGUUUUUCAUAGACAACAUGUUGACUAUGAUUAAUCAUGUAGCUUACUCGCUUAUGCUAUUUUACCUACGCUUAGGAUGUUGAACGCGCACAGAGUCUC